GCGCCUGUAGCUCAGGUGGAUAGAGCAACGGACUUCUAAUCCGUGUGCCCGGGGUUCGAGUCCCUGCAGGCGCACCA
rnacentral:tRNA from 1 species